UACUUGCUUGCCCAUUGUCUCUAUCUUUGC
rnacentral:piRNA from 1 species